CCAAGGAGUCUAACAUGUGCGCGAGUCAUUGGGAUUUUUUGAUUAAGCCUAAAGGCGCAAUGAAAGUGAAGGUCAUCCUUUAGCGUUGACCGAGGGAGGAUGGUUCGUAUUACGAUACGAGCCCGCACUCCCGGGGCGUCUCGUGCUCAUUGCGAGCAGAGGCGCACCUAGAGCGUACACGUUGGGACCCGAAAGAUGGUGAACUAUGCCUGGUCAGGACGAAGUCAGGGGAAACCCUGAUGGAGGUCCGUAGCGAUUCUGACGUGCAAAUCGAUCGUCGGAACUGGGUAUAGGGGCGAAAGACUAAUCGAACCAUC
rnacentral:rRNA from 1 species